rnacentral:rRNA from 1 species
CAGGGCACCUGCAUCCANCUUGCCGCGUGAGUGAAGAAGGCCUUCGGGUUGUAAAGCUCUUUUGUCAGGGAAGAAACAGCAGCCUAACACAGUCUGCGAAUGAUGGUACCUGAAGAAUAAGCACCGGCUAACUACGUGCCAGCAGCCGCGGUAAUACGUAGGGUGCGAGCGUUAAUCGGAAUUACUGGGCGUAAAGCGUGCGCAGGCGGUUAUACAAGACAGGCGUGAAAUCCCCGGGCUUAACCUGGGAAUGGCGUCUGUGACUGUAUAGCUAGAGUGUGUCAGAGGGGGGUGGAAUUCCACGUGUAGCAGUGAAAUGCGUAGAUAUGUGGAGGAACACCAAUGGCGAAGGCAGCCCCCUGGGAUAACACUGACGCUCAUGCACGAAAGCGUGGGGAGCAAACAGGAUUAGAUACCCUGGUAGUCCACGCCCUAAACGAUGCUGACUAGUUGUUGGGAAUCUACAUUCUCAGUAACGUAGCUAACGCGUGAAGUCAGCCGCCUGGGGAGUACGGUCGCAAGAUUAAAACUCANAGGAAUUGACGGGGACCCGCACAAGCGGUGGAUGAUGUGGAUUAAUUCGAUGCAACGCGAAAAACCUUACUACCUUGACUGUCACUACGAAGUAGAGAUA